rnacentral:lncRNA from 1 species
GUAUUGUCAUCGCCUUUGAGAAAGGUGGAGCCCACUUAGGGGAGACCAGAUACUUCAGAGGGUUCAGAGUGGUUAUAGGAGAAGCUGUUAACAAGAGUAUUUAUGUGUGGAGUUGCUGAUUGUAAUCACAGUAAAAGGAGAAGUGACAUUUGAAGGCCUACUGUGUACUGAACUCGGAACAAAGGGAGUUCUGAGUAACUAUAUAACUUCAGCACAUCUUCUCAGCAACCUGAUGAGGAUAUUAUGUCUUUCAGGCUGACUUUCAACUCUGUGUAGCCUCUGCAGCACAGCAGAACUAAAAGAGGCCCUGCCUCAACAGGUGGAAAGAGAGAACUGACUCCCCAGAGGUGUCAUCUGACCUCCGCAGAUGUGCCCUGGCAUGUUUAUGUCUGUACUUAUGCACACGCACACAUACCAAUAAUAAAA